CGCGUAGGCGGUUUAGACAGUCAGGCGUGAAAUCCCGGGGCUCAACCCCGGAACUGCCUUUGAUACUGGAAGUCUUGAGUAUGGUAGAGGUGAGUGGAAUUCCGAGUGUAGAGGUGAAAUUCGUAGAUAUUCGGAGGAACACCAGUGGCGAAGGCGGCUCACUGGACCAUUACUGACGCUGAGGUGCGAAAGCGUGGGGAGCAAACAGGAUUAGAUACCCCCGUA
rnacentral:rRNA from 1 species